rnacentral:rRNA from 1 species
GAUCCUGGUUCAGGACGAACGCUGGCGGCGCGCCUAACACAUGCAAGUCGAACGGAGUUAUGUUGACAGAAGCCUUCGGGUGGAAGAUGAGAUAACUUAGUGGCGGGACGGGUGAGUAACACGUGAGCAACCUGCCUAUCAGAGGGGGAUAACGUUCUGAAAAGAACGCUAAUACCGCAUAACGUGCGAGGGAGACAUCUCUCUUGUACCAAAGGAGCAAUCCGCUGAUAGAUGGGCUCGCG